rnacentral:rRNA from 1 species
UGCAGUCGAGCGGACAGAAGGGAGCUUGCUCCCGGAUGUUAGCGGCGGACGGGUGAGUAACACGUGGGUAACCUGCCUGUAAGACUGGGAUAACUCCGGGAAACCGGAGCUAAUACCGGAUAGUUCCUUGAACCGCAUGGUUCAAGGAUGAAAGACGGUUUCGGCUGUCACUUACAGAUGGACCCGCGGCGCAUUAGCUAGUUGGUGGGGUAAUGGCUCACCAAGGCGACGAUGCGUAGCCGACCUGAGAGGGUGAUCGGCCACACUGGGACUGAGACACGGCCCAGACUCCUACGGGAGGCAGCAGUAGGGAAUCUUCCGCAAUGGACGAAAGUCUGACGGAGCAACGCCGCGUGAGUGAUGAAGGUUUUCGGAUCGUAAAGCUCUGUUGUUAGGGAAGAACAAGUGCGAGAGUAACUGCUCGCACCUUGACGGUACCUAACCAGAAAGCCACGGCUAACUACGUGCCAGCAGCCGCGGUAAUACGUAGGUGGCAAGCGUUGUCCGGAAUUAUUGGGCGUAAAGGGCUCGCAGGCGGUUUCUUAAGUCUGAUGUGAAAGCCCCCGGCUCAACCGGGGAGGGUCAUUGGAAACUGGGAAACUUGAGUGCAGAAGAGGAGAGUGGAAUUCCACGUGUAGCGGUGAAAUGCGUAAAGAUGUGGAGGAACACCGGUGGCCAAGGCGACUCUCUGGUCUGUAUCUGACGCUGAGGAGCGAAAGCGUGGGAAGCGAACAGGAUUAGAUACCCUGGUAGUCCACGCCGUAAACGAUGAGUGCUAAGUGUUAAGGGGUUCCCGCCCCUUAGUGCUGCAGCUAACGCAUUAAGCACUCCGCCUGGG